rnacentral:rRNA from 1 species
UACGUAGGUGACCAGCGUUGUCCGGAUUUACUGGGCGUAAAGAGCGCGCAGGCGGUCGUUCAAGUCGAGUGUGAAAGCCCCCGGCUCAACUGGGGAGGGUCAUUCGAUACUGAUCGACUUGAAGGCAGGAGAGGGAAGCGGAAUUCCCGGUGUAGUGGUGAAAUGCGUAGAUAUCGGGAGGAACACCAGUGGCGAAGGCGGCUUCCUGGCCUGUUCUUGACGCUGAGGCGCGAAAGCUAGGGGAGCGAACGGG